rnacentral:tRNA from 1 species
GGGCGAAUAGUUUAACGAAUAGAACCUCAGAUUACGGCUCUGAAAGUGGGGGUUUGAUUCCCUCUUCGCCCU